rnacentral:lncRNA from 1 species
CCCAUCGAAGUGAAUCUUGUAACUUUGAACUCCUUCUAGAGUCUGGCACUGACCACAACUAGAAUACUUAUCAAUUUGCUCAUCACAACCUGAUGCAGCAUACGUAGUGAUGGUGGUGUCAGCUCCCACACUCCCAGUAACCAAUGCAAUCACAACUAUGAUGAACGGGAUCACAUAUACACUAGCCUUGAGCACUCCAGCCAUAUUCACUGCUUGCCAUUGAUCCAAAGUUUUAGUGUUAUAUAGCUCAACUCAGCUGCCUGCGUGCAACUCGUGGGAUGAUUGUG